CCUACGGGAGGCAGCAGUGAGGAAUAUUGGUCAAUGGGCUUACGCCUGAACCAGCCAAGUCGCGUGAGGGAAGACUGCCCUAUGGGUUGUAAACCUCUUUUGUCAGGGAGCAAUUGGCGCUACGUGUAGCGUUAUCGAGAGUACCUGAAGAAAAAGCAUCGGCUAACUCCGUGCCAGCAGCCGCGGUAAUACGGAGGAUGCGAGCGUUAUCCGGAUUUAUUGGGUUUAAAGGGUGCGUAGGCGGAAUGCCAAGUCAGCGGGAAAAUCGCGGGGUGAAACCUCGAUCCGCCGUUGAAACUGGAGGUCUUGAGUGGGCGAGAAGUAUGCGGAAUGCGUGGUGUAGCGGUGAAAUGCAUAGAUAUCACGCAGAACUCCGAUUGCGAAGGCAGCAUACCGGCGCCCAACUGACGCUGAAGCACGAAAGCGUGGGUAUCGAACAGGAUUAGAUACCCUUGUAGUC
rnacentral:rRNA from 1 species